rnacentral:rRNA from 1 species
GACAGUGGAUGCAAGCGUUAUCCGGAAUGAUUGGGCGUAAAGCGUCUGUAGGUGGCUUUUAAGUCCGCCGUCAAAUCCCAGGCUCAACCCUGGACAGGCGGUGGAAACUACCAAGCUGGAGUACGGUAGGGGCAGAGGGAAUUUCCGGUGGAGCGGUGAAAUGCGUAGAGAUCGGAAAGAACACCGAGCGGCGAAAGCACUCUGCUGGGCCGACACUGACACUGAGAGACGAAAGCUAGGGGAGCGAAUGGG